ACAUCCCUAUCAAUGAAUCUACCCCAGUGAGUGCCUUAGCUCACCUCCUUAGCCUGGUAGCCUGAGAAUCCAUUCCCACAAAUGUUCAAAGAGGAUUAAUCUGUUAGAUACCAGUUACAUCUGGGAAUUUUUAUUGACACGUGAACUAUUUUCUCAUGGUUCAGACUUAGCCGUGGGGCAUACUGUGACUGCACCCUACAUAUGGGCUGAAUGGCAAGCGGGAUGUGGCACAGGAUCUCAAGGACAACAUGAAUUGCAUUACAAGGGACCAAGCCCACACGAGAUAAUGACAAAUUCUUCUAGCGAUGGGACACCAGUCCCUUAGACACGGGGCAGCUACUUGAACCACUAUGGGGGGGCUCAGAGGGGCUGAUGGCGUCCCGACUCUCAGCUUCGACUGAGGCCGAGCAGACGUCCCAGUUCCAGGUUUCCGGGCCACACUCCUCCAACCACGGCCAUACCUUUCACACGAGAAACACAGAGAGGCUGGGAAUUCAGUGGACUUUGGGAUUCUGUAACCCGCACUGAUAAACUUGUGUUUAAUUUUCACCACGAGGAACCCUUGCAGUCUUCAGAGCCGUCCUUACCGCCGUGACAGUACAGCAGCCACGCCGGCUCCUCAGGGCUUCCCGCGGGUGGCCCUUCAUCCCGGUUCACUGCGGGUGACAGCCUGAUGAAGGAAGAGGUCCCCGCAGACCACGGGUGCUACGUACGCGCCCAGUUCCCAUUGGCAGGGAGCCCGAGCCCUGCCCUGGGGCCCAAGGGCGCGACCACACCCAUCCCCACAUCCCCACUUGGCGGGCCCCUCUUCUGAGACCACUCCCAGGUCCGACUCUGUAGCAGUCGGGCAGGAGGAGGAGACGAGAAAUAGACACGGUUUCUCAGCAGAUGAAAUCGAAUACGAGCAUUUGGUGGCUCAGGGCCCGGAGGGCUGAAGAAACAGAUCGUAUGGCAGAAAGCUGCCGUCCCGAAGGCGGGGGGAAGCGGGGAAGAGGUCGGGCUGAGCAGACACCUAGACGCCAGGAUGAGGGGCCUGGAAGAGGCAGAGCCUGGAUCGCUGAGGAGGGGCUGCCACAAUUUCUCAGGGAAGGCGGAAGCAUCCUUAUCCACCACGAGGGGAUAUGGGGCAGGAGAUGAUUUCUGAGGACCAUCUUCCAGGCCAUUGAAGACUUGGGGAGGUGGAGUAGCUGUCUAUCACAAUAACGCAAACAACGCGUAGAUAUCCACGAGCGCCGCUCUCUGAUCUCCUGAGAAAUCAAAGGUAAUGCCAGUCUGGGUUUUGAAGUCCCCCCGCCCCGCCCCACCCCAGUUAAGCACAAGAGGGGAAGGCGGCUCUCUUUCUCACCCUGCCCCCUUUGCCGUGUGCUGGCCCGAGGAGGCUUCCGUGGGGGAUGGCCACCUGGGCUCACCUCUCAAGCCUCCAGGACGUGCUGAGUGUGCCACACGUUCCCCGGGGACCUCCAAGUGAGGGAGCGAGCCGCGCCGUAGAGCACAGCCCCACAGAAGGGGAUCUGGCUUGAGCCCGACGUCCUUGAUCCACACCCCGCCUGGGCCACUUGCCAGCUAGUGGUGCCGAAGAAGCCGUGAAUGGGGAUCACGCCUCGAACGGGCUGCUAGGGCUGCGGGAUGGGAGGAGCCGAGGCACACGGCAAGCUCGCAAUGCCAUGACCGCAAACGAUGUCCUCUGGCCUCUGAGAGUUGCACCCUGGGAAGGUCCACAGGGCCAGUCCUGUCUUCGACAGGCCUGCCGAUUCUCCACCAAGGUGGGCCGUGUCUUCAAGUCGAGGUUGCUGACGCGUGUCCCGCUGGGCCUCGGGGGGUCCUGGGCCGGAAGCCUGGGGUGAGCUACCCUUCCAGGGAGGGUGGAUGUGCUCGGCCGGCCCGGAGCCCAGCAGUACCACGACGAUGCAGGGGGAGCAGUUCCUCUCUCAGCCUGCAGCUAGGGGUGGGGGGAAGGCAGCCCCUCCCUGUUCGCGGCUGCUAGGACUGGAGUGGGGGGGGGGCGUUCGUCCCCGCUCCCUCAGACCCACUUCUCCUUAUAGCACCAUCCUGCCUUUGUCCCGCGGGGUCACCCUUCACCAACACGGGUUUUAGGUGGGGUCUCGGUUCUGCCCUCUGACCUUCUGAAAGCCCUUUGCUCCUGGCACCUGGGAACCCCACCCCAGGAGCUCCUCCC